rnacentral:rRNA from 1 species
AGGACGAACGCUGGCGGCGUGCUUAACACAUGCAAGUCGAGCGGAAAGGCCCUUCGGGGUACUCGAGCGGCGAACGGGUGAGUAACACGUGAGCAACCUGCCCCUGGCUCUGGGAUAGCCUCCGGAAACGGGGAUUAAUACCGGACAUUCACUUCCUUCCGCAUGGUUGGGGGUGGAAAGUUUUUUCGGCCGGGGAGGGGCUCGCGGCCUAUCAGCUUGUUGGCGGGGUAACGGCCCACCAAGGCGACGACGGGUAGCCGGCCUGAGAGGGCGACCGGCCACACUGGGACUGAGACACGGCCCAGACUCCUACGGGAGGCAGCAGUGGGGAAUAUUGCGCAAUGGGCGGAAGCCUGACGCAGCGACGCCGCGUGGGGGAUGAAGGCCUUCGGGUUGUAAACCCCUUUCACCAGGAGCGAAUCCAGACGGUACCUGGGGAAGAAGCGCCGGCUAACUACGCGCCAGCAGCCGC